CGGAGGAAUGAUGACUGUUUACGGUAAGGCCGACUCGUCUUUUACUUAAAUGUCCGCCGAUAACAAAAUACUGCAUGUUUACAUUGGUUUUUAAUUCAUUAAUCUUCGUUAUAAGUCCAAAUUAAAACAUGUAAAAAUAACUUCGAAAAUAUUAAACAUUUGUGACGUACGGUAAAGUGGCGAAAGGACUAGGUUCACGAAAGUGCCUAUUUGGCCUUGUAUUUUCGAAAAAAUCAAAUGCAAUGAAAUGCUUUAUUUGACAUUGUUUUUAUGUUGUCUAACAUUCGUUUAUACAAUAUAUACAGAAACUUUUUGUGUUCGUCGUCUUUUCACCAAUAUGAACAUGAUUGAUUUUUGGCAGUAUGCCAAAAAAAUCUGUUUUUUAGCAAAAAUGCUACAUGUUAAGGCUAAAAAAAAUGUGUUCCGCCAAAUGCGACAUCAAGAUAUUUCGUUCAUAUAACCUAUAAUGUUACUUCUUUAAGUGGGUUAAGUUUGAAGGUGUCGCAAUUGGCGGAAAAUAUUUAAAACAUUUGGACAUUGUCACUGCUUAUCGUGUUUUUAAAUCCGCCGCUUCAGACGUAAACAUGAAUUAUUACCGAUUUAAAUUUAUACUUCCCGUUAGUAUCAAUGUUGUUCUUUUCCAAACAAAAUUGAGUCUAAUCGACACAUGUUUAUUGUUUAUUAUUUAUGUUUAUUGUGAUUUUUGUUUCUGAGAAUAACUAUCCGAAAUAAUCUUUUUCACGGGAAACAACUCUACUAGUCCGUGACUAACAGAGUACUGUACUGACUACAGUUGACAGCGUUGUUAGCAACCGUUUAAUUUUGCGUGAUUUCUUGAAUUUACCGCGAUGAGACAAUGAGCCAUUACGAUGUAGCGUUGUAUUUCAUCUGAUAUGUAAUAGAGACCAUGGCGUAGUGGUAUAGUUAGUGGCGCACCACGCUGGCGAGCGUGGAUCAAAUCUCGCCUCCAGCAGGAUGCAUCAGUCCAAGUGCAUAGUUUGCAAAUGCAAACUUAAAGUUCGCCAGAGACGGCCUGUCAACAAGCAUCUAGGAAAGUAUCUUAGAAAAACUUUCUUGAUUGAAAGCAGCGAGUCUGACUUCAUUUGUGGC